rnacentral:lncRNA from 1 species
UUCCUCUUCCUCGGCCUCGAUCUCGAUACAGGCUACGGCGCCACCACCCCCACCGCUGAGGGCGUCGAGGUUUGUUUCUCUUCCCGCUCGUAAUUUAUGAUCUGAAUCUGAUUAUCGGAGAUUGAUAAAUGUAUACCGGCAUUGAGCAGAUCACAUACGACAGUGUGCUGAAGCUUAUGCACGAGAGGACCAAGUUUCGGCUGCACUCCCACGACAUGUCGUAUGGCUCUGGCAGUGGCCAGCAGUCUGUCACUGCGUUUCCAAAUGUCGACGAUGCUAACAGCUACUGGGUACGGUAUUCGCUACAGUUUGUUCAAUUUACGUAUCAUGCUUUUCGAUUGGUCAAUAAGUGAUUAUUGGGUAAUUACUGGGUUUCAGUAACUGAAAACUAAGUGAUUACUGAGUGUCAGUAACUGAAAACUAAGUGAUUACUAGGUGUCAGUAACUAGUUAUUGGGUGUCAAUAAUUUAUCAAUAACUGGUUACUUAGGUUAGUAACUGGUUAUUAUGGGUCAUUAACUGGUCAGUAACUGGUUAUUGGGGGUCAGUAACUGGUUACAGGGGAAAAUCCGGUGACCGGAAUCCGGCGGUCGGGGAAAUUCCGGUGACCAGAGUCCGGCAGUCUGGAAAAUUCCGGUGACCGGAGUCUGACGGCCGGUGACCGAAGUCCGAGGUUCCGGCCAAGUCUUUUCAUGUUGAAGAAGUGGGGGCAAAAUAGUCUUAAAUAAUAUGAUUUGUUAAGACUUUAGUAAAUAUUUGUGCAUUUGGGCAUAAAAAUGGUUACCUUAUAUUGGAAUGGGCUAAUGCAAAAGAUUAUCAUUGGAAUGGGAAAUAAAGGGUUUGAAUUAGUACUAAAUAUACAUUUUUCCUUUUAUUAACUUGUUCACGAUUAGAAGACGCUUACAUCAAUUAAUUUGCCUACUUACGACCAAAAAGUCUAGUUGGCAACAAGCAAUAAUAAAGUGAUAGGUAACUCUCAUUACAAAUGCGCUCAGUUAAGCCUAUCACAUCUAACUUACAACUAUUCCUAUCUAAAUUUCAUGUAGCGGUCAUACCCGUCGCAUGCGGACCUCAAUUGGUGUACAACAAAGUAGAACCAAAAUUUAAACAAAAAUAGUCUUCCAUCAGAUGUCUAGGUAGGGAACAAGGAAAAUAACCUCCUUGCCCUUAAUGUUAGGGCUCGCCAACCCCUAUCAAACAUUGAAAUGGGUGGAAAACCCCUAGAAUCCCUGAAGGGCAAGAAAGGGUUAAGGCCCAAAUGACAAGCUCUAACCCAUCUGGAAGCCCAAACAACUUCAAAAAAUGGGCCCAACCUAAGCCCGACAGAAGAUGAUCCGUGAUCUGAUCUGCCUCCACCACUACCUGCCUCCAUAACCGCCAUGCUGUAAGCAAACCCACAGCCACGCCAAGCCUCCACAAAGCGUUGCGGAUCUUCUCGGCCACACCACACCAAAAGUCUACCAAAGUUCUAAAAAACGGUCUGGGCGGCCGCCUAGGCGGCACCUUGACGCUCGCCGACGGUAGCCCAUUCUGAUUUCAAGGUAGUCGUCCAUAUUAGUCGACUGGCAGAAAAUCGGGCGGUUAGGCGGGCUCUGGGCAGCUCGGCGACUAGAUUUUGUUAUGGAAUUUGACACAAUCUGUAUGAUUUUUCUGGACGAGUGAAACAGAAGAUGAUAAUUGUUCGAUGAGAUGAUGAGAGAGACUAGAGAUGCAAAAGUGGCCUGGUAGUUUUUAUCGAGGUAGCAGUAUUUUUGUUGACCACCAACAGUAUUGGCCUAAAAGGUUUGAUCAAAGUCAGACCACUAAUCCACUAUAGCUCAUUAUUAUUUGUUUUUCUAAGGACAAGGUCUAGGAUAUAGUUCAUUAGGUGAUUAAAAAUUAUUUAACAUUAUAUUAAAUGACUAUUUAAAUAAGUAAUUGCUUGUUAUAAUAAUUAUAAGAUUAUUUAUAUAAUUAUUUAUUAUUAAAAAAUAAAAUAAAUACAAAAAUACAAAUUCGAUUAAUCCCCGAUUAAUCUUUUGGGCGUUGUUCGCCCAACUAGCGUCCAGCGUUUUUUAGAACCUUGGAGUCUACCAUGCACGCACAGUCCGCGACCCAAAACAACCAUGCCACCGACAAGAAGAUGAAAGCCUAUGCUGACCCCCGCCACCGCAACUCUCAAACAGCAAGGACGAGCAUCCCAAAAACCUGCACAAACCAGCAGAUCUCGAAUAUCUCCGUCUAUCCUCGAGCCGAACCACAUACAAGAGACUAAAACAGCAUAAGGAAUUCUCGUCCGGCAGCGAAACUCAAUGAGAUUAGACCUUGAGGCUAGCCAAGAUGAGGCUGCCGCCGGACGAGAGGGAGUUCGUGGGUUUGUUGGGGUUCGCAAGGGUUUUUGUUUUUUAGGUAAACGAUGUGUUUUUAAAUCUCUAUGACUUUUUUUCUUCUUAUUUUGAGGAGAGAGAAUGAUAUUUUAAAGGCAAGUAAUAAAUUUUAGAGAUUUCUACAAUAAUAUACAAAUUUUGAGAAUUCUAUAGAUAUGGAUGAUCUUUUUCUCUCUCUUCUCACUUUUUUGUAUUAUAGAGAUCAUUUACAUGAGCUGUUAGAGCCAAAAAAAAAAGAAGGAUUAAUUUCAGUUUACCCCCCUGAGGUUUGGGGUUGAUAUCGUUUCACCCCCCGUACUUUUAAUUUUGAAAAUUUACCCCCUAAAGUUUCCAAUUUUCAUAAAUCAAGCCCAAUUGCUAAAAUUCCGUCCAAUUUGGAGGUUAAAUGCUAGCAUGAAAUCUUAGAAAAAAGGGUCCUAAAAGGCGAUUUAUUUUGUGUUAUGACUAUUUUAGCACUUUUAGUGAGUUAUGAAGUUAAAAUUAACGUCUGAAUUAGAUGGAAUUUAGCAAUUGGGCAUGAUUUAUGAAAAUUUAAAACUUUAGGGGGUAAAUUUUCAAAAUUAAAAGUAGGGGGGUGAAACGAUGUCAAUCCCAAACCUCAGGGGGGGGGGGUAAACUGAAAUUAAUCCUUAAAAAAAAAUGUUUUUCCUCUACAAUAGAGAUAGUUUUAGUUUUACAUGAGCUGCUGAAUAUGCCCUAAAAGAACAUAGGAAAUCCUAGAAACCUGACCAACAAGUUGUGUGUUGUUUGUAAGAAAAAUGGCAAAUGUGAUGCAGCUAGGGAAUUUGUGUGGAAAAUGGUGUCUCACAUUUUCAUGUCACAACAAAAGUUUCAUGUCAUUCUGAAAUUAGUAUCUCACAUUUUAGUUAACAUUGACUACAACCACUUAUUUUAGCUGCACUUCAGAUUUUUCACAAAUGUAAAUUAUUCCGGUUUUGACAGCACUUUUUCUCUGUUCAAGUUCAAGUUACAUAAAUUCCUCAAGUAAAACAUAUACACUUGAGAGGUUUCACAAUUUUGGGAAGUAGACAAAGUUAGACUGAGAGUCCCAUCAAAAUUCACAUGUCAGCCAAGUUUCAAAACAGAACAAAGACGAACACUAAAAGCUUAGUUGAAUUUGCUUCGACAUUAAUCACAUUGGCUUUUAUAUCAGUGGAAUCAACUUCUUGCCGGAUGCCGCACAACUUUAAAAAAGCAAUACCAACACCACAAACAUAUAACCAAAACAACAACAAAUUUCAUAAGUAACUUCAAAUAUAUAUUACAGUAUGUGGAGGCUCUACAACAUCAUAUUUCCCCUACGUAACCACCAGAACCAUAUAAAUCCCUCCUAGAGCUGACAAUUCUUUUAUGCUGCUCUAGUUUUGAACAAUCACCGACUCGAUGACCAGGCCCGCCACAAUAAGCACAGCCUUCAACCUCAUCACUUGUAUGUUCCAUUGGAUCAUCCAGCUCAGCCAACAUGGGUGGAAUUCGCUGCUUGGCCUCUUGCAAUAGGUGCUUCAAAUCUAGGAGUGUCGUCUCACUUUGGUUCUUGUUUAUAAACGUUGUUGCAAUUCCAACCUUGCCACAUCUUCCUGUUCUUCCAAUCCGGUGAACAUAGUUUUCGAUUUCUGCAGGCAUGUCAUAAUUAAUGACAUGUUGAAUAUCAGGAAAAUCCAAACCUUUUGAAGCAACAUCAGUUGCCACUAAGACAUCUUUUUUCCCUGACUUGAAGGAAGAAAUGGCAUCCUCUCUCUCUUCAUGAUCCUUCCCUCCAUGAACAGCCACUGCCUGCACUCCCUUCAACAGAAGAUAUUCAUGAAUCUCAUCCACAUCGGCUUUCUUUUCGCAGAAUAUUAGAACAGGAGGCGCAGUCUUUUGCAGACAUUGAAGAAGGUAAAAAGCCUUGGCCUCUUGCUUCACAUAAUCAACCUCUUGAAUCACAUCAAGAUUUGCUGCUCCAGCUCUUCCCACGUUGACAGUCACAGGCUUAACCAAAGCCUUUGUAGCAAAGUUCUGAAUUUUAAUAGGCAUGGUGGCUGAAAAUAGAAGCGUUUGACGUUGAGCUUUAAAAUGGUCGAAAACUUCUCUUAUGUCAUCCUCAAAGCCUAAGUCUAACAAUCUAUCAGCCUCAUCUAAAGUUAGAUAUCUGCAGUUAUCAAGCUUCAUUAUUUUGCUUUUCAGCAUAUCCUUUAACCUUCCCGGAGUUGCGACAACUAUAUGAACACCUUUCCUCACAAUGUCCUGCUGUGACUUCUUAUCCACUCCACCAAUGCACAGCAAAGGCCUUAUCUUUGGUCUUCCGUCCUCUUCCAUAGCAUUCACAAACUCUUGUACCAAUUCGAAAGUCUGCCUUGCUAGCUCUUUCGAUGGGCAUAUAACCAACCCGAAAGGUCCUUCUCCUGGAGCAAUUGGCAUCAGAAUCUCCUCCUGCAAUGCCAUCAUAACCAUUGGCAACACGAAAACCAAUGUCUUGCCGGAACCUGUAAAUGCUAUUCCAAUCAUAUCCCUCCCGGACAAAACCACAGGAAGACCUUGAACCUGAAUGGGGGUCGGUUUCACAAUCCCUUUGGCUUUCAAAACCUUCAAAAUCCGCUCCGGAAAUCUCAUGUCCUUGAAACUCCUAAUUGGAGGAGGAAUGUGUUCCCCAUCAACUUUGAUGUGCCAUUGCUUGCGGAUCACGUCACAUUGCUUUGCAGUUCUCAUUCUAAUCUUUAAUGGGGGCUUCCAACCUGUUGGCAAAGGGUCUGUGUAAGUUAUUCCCUUUGCCAAUUCAUGAACUGACAUUAGUGAUUUGCGAUCGGGGAGCUGCUCAAUCAUCUGCUUUUCUUGUUGCAGCAGCUGCUCUUUUGGAGUAAUCUCCGGAGCAUCACGCUUCAACUGUGACGCUGUUACAAGGAGGCUAGGUAGAUUCGUCCUAUUUUCUUUGGAUUCCUCCACUUUAGAGUCAACCUGCUCAGAGCUGCUUCUUCUCUUCCUCUUAAGAAUCUUCUGCUUUGCAAUCGCUCUCUGCUUCUCAAGAAGCCUCUGCGCUGCAAUCGCUCUCCGCUUUGCCACAGGUACAUACAAGUCGCUUUCUUCUUCCAUUGAUAAACCACGUGGAGGAGUACGUGUUGAAGGAAAAAUUGUAACAAAGAGAACUGAGAAAUAUUAUUAUUGAACAGGGGCACCCUUAUAUAGAGGAGGAUUAUGAUUAUACAAAUAUGACAAUAAUAAUAGGAUAUAAUAGUAAGGAAUCAUAAACCAUCCUUCUAAAGGAAUCCUAAUACAAUUGAGAAAUAUGGGUGAAUAAGGAAUUCUGAACCAUCCUUGUAAACAAAUCCUAAUCCAUUUUAGCUUUUCUUAGUGCUUUCUCUUCCCUGCAUACAUGCACUGUCUUUAGUAAAACCGACCAUGGAAGUCUUACUAUUUUCUUGAACAAUGACGAAGGUAUUCCACUUAUUCAUUCAUCUGAGACCACUUAGCAAACCGAUGGCUUCUGCCUAUUAUGUUGAAUACCUAGGCUAGGCCUCCAAGUAAAAGGUAGGUUAAAAUAAAAAAUUUAACCAUAUCCAUAAAGACAAAUAGACAACUUUGGUUCUGGGUUAAAAACCACAAUACAUAUAGGGUUCGGCUGCUAUACACAUUUGUAUGACAUAUAUCAAGCCGUGAGCCGUCCGAUCGUUUAGCAAUUCAAAAUUCAAGACUAUCGGACGACUCACUGCUUGAUAUAUGCUAUACACAUAUGUAUAGUAGAAAAGUUCAUAUAUAUGAACUCAGAAAAUGUUAAAUAUCAAGAUCCUCUUAGCUACUUUAAAACCACAUUCUGUGAAGUUUGGCCACUUUCAACCCUCUCCAAAAUCAAUCAGCAUAAUGAAUGUACGGGAUCAUUGAAGGUGACCACCAUCAGGAAACUGAUAAUGUAAAUGCCUAUCUUACACCAGAAGCAUAAUGACAUACAGUAAAAUGAACAGAUAUUCAGCUCUGGACAAUCACAAUAUCAUGAAUUCAUCUACAUACACCAGUAGAGACAAAAAAAAUCCAUGUAUUCUACAACUUUGAUUUGAGUAUUAUGCACUACAAAUAUAAACAUCAGCUAUGAGCUAGCAACAAUAAGUAUGCCAGAGCUUGACACACUUAUGGUUGCUAGCUGAAGCUCAAAUGCUCGAUACCACAUCAUCAUCAUUUGAUAGAGAUACUACAAAAAGAAAAAGCGCAAGGCUUAUAGCUGAGUUUAUACUUCUAAACUUCAUGAUCACUGCUGUUGCAAGCUGAAGCUACAAAGCACUCAGUCCCAAGAUAAGGAUCCUUCUACAAAAUAGUACCGGCUAUCAUUGAGAGCAAAAAGCUUAAUGACGCAAUCCACUUAGAGAAAUGGGAAUCAGAAUUACAGAAUGCCUAGAAGCACAGCCCCAAGCAACUAGUAAAACCGCCCAUCUUUUCCAUUGAGCUCGGUAAUCUCACUGUUCUGUAACUCAGAAGUGGAUCCCUGAAAGAACAUUGUCACAUUCCAGGCAUAUAAGACACAAAAAUAUACGAAAAUUGAUGGUAACUCACAGAUGAAGUAUGAAACCUACUCAUAGAACAAAGAAUACCAACAAUAACCAGCAUUUGGCACACACAAUGACAUGCCACAAGGAAGUAAUCAGCAGAAUGCAGUAACAGAAAGCAUAUACAGUGAUAUGUGCAUACAUGAAAGUGAUGAAACACCAAAAGGUAGAAGCCACAGUCCAUAACUAAUAAGAAAAAUAACUAAGAGAAUGAUUAUAUUGCAUCUUUCAUCGGUAAUAGAUACCUUCAUGCAAUCAUCUGUCAUUGGUGAUUCAUGGCUGUCCAAAAAGCCUAUAGCAUCUAUUCUCGGAUAAUGAUGUAGACUGCCAAAACAAGGUAUGUUUGUCUGAGAGUCAUCGGUAAUAUGAUGCAAUUUGAUUUUCCGCUUUGCCUCAAGUAUCACUAUCGUCAUUGGAUACAGAUGAUAGCAUAAUGGCUUCAUGACCGCUUCAUUAUGGACCACUGUUCUUAACUUCUCAAACUUCUGUUCUUUUGUAAGCUUCCACAGCUCUGACCACUUCUUUUCUCCCCAAUCUUCAUAUUCAUAAAUGCAAAUCAACAGAGUUUCUGCUGCAUCUUCAGAAGUUAAUUCCCGAACAACUCCAAAAGUCAUGUGGUUGUCAUUCUGCAAGGCUUUUGGAAGUUCAAUCGUAUCAAAAGUCUCUUUCGAAAGAUCAAAGCUUACCAAGGAGUCUUUAGAUGUAUCACGCCAAUAUAUUCUAGGCUCUAUGGAACAACCAGGCCCAUCAAAGGAAAUGUCCAACUCUGGAAAGGUUAGGUCUCUCCAAGUACCCCUCUUCUGUGAAAAGAUAGCAGCAUGAAUCAACUCCAUUGAGUAAACCUUGAUGAUUUUAUAAUCCUCAUCAAUUGUAUCAUAACCAAAUCCAUAUUCUCCUAUAUCUUCAGUUUCUUCUUCUUCAAUCUUCCAGCACUGUUUUGUAGAAACAUCAAUGACAAGGAGGAUUUUGUGGUGCUUGUCACCUAAGCAUACUCUACUCCGACAAGAUCCUAAAAUGAUAACUGGAAAAUUGAAGGAUUUCAAAUCAUUGACUUGGAACUUUUCUACAAAGAAGUUGCCCUCAGCAUUGAAUCUAAUUGCUGCAACAUGACCCGGGUCUUCAAGGUUCGCAACGAAGAUGCUUGAGACAAACCUUGAUGCCGAUUCUGAUUUGGCCAUCAUGUUCCACUCUUUCGAGACUAGCUUCAUUUCCGUGAGGUGUCUUAGGUUGAAGAAUUUAAAAAUCACCGGCAUCACACAGCAGAUUCUUUGAAUUCCAAGUUGUUCAUUCCCCUACAAUAGGGUAUUCAAAAAAGUAUCAAAAAAGACAAAUCUUCCUGAAGCUAAUAUCCGUUUAUCACAUUUGCAAGAACAGAAUGCAAGACAAGUUAUUUUCAUGGAUGCUGUGUUGUUCAAUCACUUGAAGGGGUUUCUGCUAGGUCUUCAUAAUUCUCAGACACACUGAACAGUGACUAGUUCUACUGCACCAGGUAUCUAGCUACAUUAUAAUACAAUAUUUUUCCCACAAAUCAUGCAAACAAGAGUACUAAGUUAUUAAUUCUGACAAAAUCAUACAGUGUCAAACUGGAUUAUACAAAAGAAAAAGAAACAUUGAUGCAUAAAUGAUUCAACAACAGAAGUUCUCAGAAUCAGUACUCACAUUACUGUCAGCACCUCCAUUCUUCUUCAACUGUUGUUGGCAAUCACAAAAUUCAUCAUCGACAACGUUCUCCAAAUCAUUUUGGCUUCCACCAAAUAAAUCUUCAUCAUAAUCAGCACUUGGGACAACCUUCUUCAACUCAUUUUGGCUUCCACCAAAGAAAUCUUCAUCAGAAUCAGCACACAGACAGUUGUCUUUACCCACAAUGACAUAGUUCUCAGAAUCACUACCCACAGAAGUGACAUCACUCAUAAGGACAUAGCUACUGUCAGAAUCCGAAUCCCCACCAGCCAUGAUUAAACUCCUCAGAAGUCUCCACUUAUCUGAAAUGAACAAAUUGGUAUCACAUUUCACACUAUAGCAAGCCAACUUAAUUUCCCCAAAUUCUAUGCACUACAACAUGAUUCAACUUUCAACCUAUCUCAGAAAUUUUCUUCCAAAUAAGGAAACUUUCUUCACUAAGCCAUAUAUAUUCACCACACACACACACACACACACACAAAAUUAACAAAAAAAAAUUAAAAGAAAAAAAAAUAAAAACCUAAUCUUCAACCAUGAUUACUUGGCACAAAAGAAACCCACCGCAAUAAAGGAACAACCAAAUCAAAACCCAACUAAAUCACCAAAAAGAAUAUUCAAUUUUACCUACAGAAAAGGAAAAUGAACAUUAACUUGAAUUUUACAUAAGUAAACAGGGGAUUACCAAAAAGGGAAAAUCAUAUAACUAACACAGAAUUCCUAGAUUGAUUUCGAAAUUCGAAUUCACACCUCAAGACUUAAUCUUUGACUUUGUGAGAAACAAAAUUACAGAGCAAACAGAGGCGACUAAAAGUAAAAAUGAUCAAACGAUUCUCGCCUAACAGAAACCCUAAAAGACUCGAAAUUGAAGAAUUGAAAACCUAAAGAUUCGACAAAACCCCCAAAUGUAAAGACCGUAAAGAACUCAGGUUUCCGGCGGAAAAUGACACUAGGACUGAAACGAAAGGAAGGCCGGAGAAGCGUACCUCGGUAUCGGCGGAGAGCGGCGGUCGGAAAAUGGGAGAGAGAAUCGGAAGAGAGAGAGAGAGAGCGGGAAGUGAAGAGGGAGAGAGCACUUGAAGUGUUAAGGUGGGUCGCAGCAGAGUCGUCUUCUGGUCAAACCAAGUAGCAAUGUAGCAUGUGGAUUAAUAUAUGUAGCAUGUGGAUUAUGCUUCCCUAAAUUUGUGGGAGAAAGUUUAUUUUUAUUUAUUUUUUGAUACAUUAUAUUUUUUGAAUAUAUUUUUUUUAGAUUGAAAUAGUUGCAUAUAAAAACAAAAUGAGAUAAUUACAAUUGAUAUAAGUACAUCGAAUUCACUAUUGUGGUUAAUCAUCUACCCAAAAAGUAAAAUACAGAAAACAAAAACUCGAUUCUAACUAAAUAUGUGUUACAUGAUACCAGAUGAGCAUUAUGUACAUAUAAGUAAAUGAAGAGAAUUAGCAUUGCAAAAAAAAAAGGUACUCAGCUUCUUGUCUCAAUGCACUUUCACCGACACAAGGAUGCACAGAUUAACCACGACUUGAAUAGCAAACAGUGACAUCAAUCGAGCUUGAGUAGCCAACAGCAAAAUGUGUACUCGAUUAUGUAAUCACACAAAGGACACAUCUUUGAAACUACGACCACGUCAAAAGCGGUAGCAAAAGAAAACCACUCCUUUGAUCAGGUCAUGUUUGGUUCAUGGAUCAAGCCAUUGGGAAAGAAAAGUCAUUACUUUCUAUUGUUUGGAAACCAAAAGGAAAAGAGUGGAAAAAAGUGGAAAAGGAAAAUGGUUCUCACAUAAAAUGAAAAUUGGGUGGAAAAUGGUUCUCUUCCUCCACCCCAAGGAUUCAUUUUCAUUUCUCUUGUCAAAGGAAAAUUCAAAGAUUUCAUUUUCUUUCUUUUACAUUCCUCGAACCAAACUAGGCUUAAAGGGAUCCGAACAGAGUCAACUGUACAACCGCAAUAUACUAACCGUUUAGUUGAAAUAACACAAACAGUGGUGGUCUCGUUAAAUCUUUGUUCAGAGUAUCUUUUUUUUUUUUUGAUACAUUUUUGUGGGAGAACAGUUUUUGUGAUUUACUAAUUAUGAACACUAAACACUAAUGAUUCAUGAUUUCAAUUCGUCCAUUGAUUUGAUCUUAUUCGGUACCCAAACAAUAAUGAAUUUGGUUGAAAAUUUACCCAUAUAACUCCUUCUAAGUCAAGCUAACAAACACAUUUUGUUCCACAACAUGAAACUAUAUCAGUGUGCCAUUCUGCUUCGAUUGAAUGAUUAAUUUCAUAUUGAUUUGGUAACAAGCGGAUGAACUCUAAUCAUCUAGCGAGCCUCUAGAAACAUUGUGCUGCAAUUAUUUGUUGAAUACAAGUCGCUGGUUGUUGAUGUUGAUUCGGUGACCGGCACAGUUCGUUCAGUGUAAAAACCAGGCUGCUUUGGUGAAGGCAACUGAACUUCACUGCCCAACAUUAGAACCACAGAUGACAUGCUUGGUCUAUCUUCAGGUACAUGUUGCACACAUAGCAAGCCCACAUGAAGACACCUUAUUAACACUACGGUUCUGUUGCAAGAAUCACGUAACGUCACAUCAACCAGUUCCAGAGGAUUAUUUUGAGUCCAUAAUGUCCAUGCCUUGAAACAAAUUGAAGCAUAUGUCAGUGAGGAUGGAUUGCAUGUUUCUAUGCUCCUAUCAAAUAAGAAAAUGGACAUUUUUCUAUGGUAAGGGUGCUUAUAGGAUUGCAUAAUGGAAGUAAAAUAAUAUACUCACAUGUCCAAGAAGGUUAAGAUGAUGAUCUGGAUGACAAAACCCCCUGUUCUUUUUCCUGCUCAGUAUCUCUAGCAGUACAACUCCAAAGCUAAAUACAUCAGAUUUCAUUGAGAAAGUCCCAUCUACUGCAUACUCAGGAGCCAUAUAACCACUAUGAAACAAAAUCGCAGUUAGAAAGAAUUUCAGAAACAGAAUUGUAUAAGUUUACCAUGUCUAGCAAACUUACUAUGUUCCAACCACUCUUUUUGUACUGUCUUCACUUUGGUCACCCCCAAAUGUUUUAGCCAGGCCGAAGUCUGAUAUCUUUGGGUUCAUAUCAUUGUCCAGCAAGAUAUUGCUAGACUUGAAAUCUCUAUGAAUGAUUCUCAAUCUAGAGUCUUGAUGGAGAUAAAGAAGCCCUCGAGCAAUUCCCUCAAUAAUAUGGAAGCACGUCGGCCAGUCAAGCAACUUCCGUCUUUCUUCGUCUGAACAAGUUAUUAAGCAUGUUUAUUCCACAUUGAAUCGUUAGGAGUGAAAGAUGGCACAACUGAAAAGGCAUGUCUGAGUUUUAGAGAGAUUCCUACCAAAUAUAUAGAAGUCCAAGCUUCUGUUAGGCAUGUAUUCAUAUACUAGAAUUUCUUCAUCUUCUUGAAUGCAACAACCAAGAAGCUUUACAAGAUUGCGAUGCUGAAGUUUGGCUAUCAGUAGAACUUCAUUUUUAAACUCUCUCAAUCCCUGUCCAGAGUUCUUUGAGAGCCUCUUUACAGCAAUUUCCUCUCCUCCAUCCAAAGUUCCCUAUAUGGAUAACCAUUCAGAAAAGUCCAUAAAUGUUGAUAUCACAAAAUAGCUCGUUUUGGUUGCCCUAACUUAUGUUACCUUACCUUGUACACAGGUCCAAAACCACCCUCACCCAGCUUGUUGCUGCUUGAAAAAUUGUUAGUGGCAUUAGCAAUAGUGGUCAAGUCAAAUAGUGGUAACUCCAAGUCUUCCCUGCCUUCUCCAUUGUAAUCCUCCUUUCUGCAAUCGAGCUUUCUUCUAGCUCCUGAAAGACUAAAUCACUUCAGCACAAACUAAUAGAUGUAGACUUGGACUAAUGAAUUUAAAUACUAACCACCUUAUGUAAAUGCAUUUUUCAAAGUCAGAGUACUUGGAUUUGGGAUUUUGAAUUGUUUGUUUUUAAACAAUUAGAGCCAAUGUAAGGAAUUUACCUUGAUUUCUGAGUUUUCUCUUCCGUUUAUACAAAAUGAACCCAACUAUUAGCAUUCCAACAAGAAAACCAGAUAAGCCUAUCAAAAUUCCUGCUAGCUUUUUCUUGCUGAACUUGCUCUUUUUCACAAUAGGAUCUGAAAUAUCAAAACAAAAUGUUCAUGUCAUUCUGAGAGGAGUAUCUCACAUUUCGGUUAACUGUGACUACAACACCUAUUUCACCUGCACUUGCUACAGAUUUUUCAUAAUGUAAAUAUUCCAAUUUUGACAGCACUUUUUCUCAGUUCAAGUUCAAGUUACAUAACUCCCUCAAAGUAAAACAUAAAGACUUGAGAGGUUUCACAAUUUUGGGAAUUAGCCAAAGUUAGACUGAGAUUCCUAUCAAAAUUCACAUUUCAGCCAAGUUUCUAAACAGAACACUAGAAAAACACUAAAACACUAAAAGUUUAGUCAGUAAUUUUCUGAAGAAAACAAAACACUAGAGUAGGCCAUUUUCUAUCUUGCUGGCCUGAAGCAGCCAGAUAAAAGAGAGAUCAGAUAUAAGUGUAAGAAGCUGAUAGAGAGAUCAGAUAACAGUCCAAAAGCCUACCUAGGUCAGAAGCAGCCAGCCGUAUAUACAGGUCUUGAGAAUCAGAGGUGAACUCUCUAAUGUCAUUGAGGUUCCCAAACCAAAGCAAGCAGCCACUUCCGCCUUCCCUGACAUCUAAAUUAGCAUAUGCAGAACAUGAACAGUUUCCCGAACAUAUUCCCUGGCACUCCUUGAGGCUCAUUCUCUUGUCAUACCACGAAGAAGAUGUGUCUGGCAGUUUAAAGUUGCUGUACUUUACAAAGCCAUCUGUAGAGCUGCAAGCUAAUGGAGUCUCACGAACACAUCCCUCGGACCAAUUCGUUGUGUUCCAAUCAUUUGGAGAUUUUGGCACAUACCCUUUCAAGCAUGAACAUACAGGAGUGUUACUGACAUUACAUCUAGCAUUAGCGCCACAAAAGGCAUAAUUUUCACACUGAUCUGCUUGAGUUGACAAGAACGGUUCCCAACUAGUUGAGUGAUCUGUCCAGGUAAACCACUGUGCAAUGCCAUAAGGGUUCAAUACAUAUCUCGCAAAUGUUGACUUGUUGACGAGUGUGUACUCAUAAUAGACCUCAUCCUUAGUCAUCACAAAUUCAAAAACCGCUACUGGAUUUGGCCUUCCUUGAUAUCCAGUUAAUUCAACACCGUUCCAUGUCCCUGCCCUAGUCAGUGUCUUAGCUCCCUUCAUGAUAAAAAUCUGGGGGAAACCAUGAGUGUCCAUUCGUAGUGAAAACUCUCCUUGAGCAGGAUCUUCUGUGCUCCUCCAGGACGAAAUAUACCUAUCUAAGCCAGUAACCAAAUUCCAACCAAGCUUCAUAUCUGGCAGGCGUGUAUCACAAGGAUAAUCAAAACUCUGCCACAAGAAGUUAUCAGGGUUGGUUUCAUUUCCAUCUUUCACAACAAGAUUUCCUGAAUCCAAGAGUUGCGAGACUGGAUUAUUCCCUGCGGUUCUUGAUGAAUUGGAUGACCAUACAGUGCCAUUUGAGCUAUUGAGAAGGACUAAAACUCCCUGAUCAGUUACCUUCAAAACUCCUGAAGAAUCAUCAAGUGGUAUUUCUCUGUUGGCCACCCAUACAACUGUCUCAGUAGAAAAAGUGUACCAUAUUCCCAAGUAUCUUCCUUUCACUUUACCGGGACUAAAGAAUCCCAGUUCAUAGCUUCCACCUGCUGAAAUCAGUGUUUGACCAUCUUUAACAAAUUGGUUUGGAGUAAUGGAGUCUAGUGCAUUUGAGGUUCUUAGGAAGGAAAACAAGAACAAGCACACAAAAAGAGUUUUCAUGGUUUGCAUAGAUGUUCUGAUCAGAAUGCUUAGGACAGAAAUAAAUGCACAAUACGUGCAGAGAAAUUGAAAUAUCUAAAAGAAGGAAAUAUCUAGCUUUAGAUCUCUCUGCCUAGAUUUGUUUAGUCUCUCCACUAAUCCUGUUUAAAGUAAGGCCUCAUUAGGCCCUACUGUUUCAUAAUGUAACAACCACACAGAAGUAUGGCAAACCUGGUUUAUCCAUUUUCUUGAAUUCCAAUCAACUUGAAGUUUAAUAUGCAGUAUGCCUGGUAUAUAUUUCUCCCCCCUUUUUUGUCUCUUUUCAAGUGUCUUUUCUUAAAGGGGGUAGUAUAAUGAUAUUUGGUAGAGUUGGGUGUCUUGAUUGACAUGCAUAGCGAUUUAAAACACAACAAAAACAAAAACAAAAAACUUAGACUGAAAAAAAGUCAUAAACUAACAGACAUGCAGUACACACCAAUGAAACUAGACGGCAGCUGAUUAGGAAAGGACAAUAUAUAUCCCACAAUCUCCGGAUUUGCAUUUGCAAUCAAAUUCAUCUGUAAACUUAGUUUUGAAAACUCGGUAGAAAGAAACUCAUAUAAACUAAUAUAUAUGCUGUUCAAAAGAAGUAGACUCGAUGAAUUUUAUGGCUGAUUAUGAAAUUGAUCUAUACAUACCAGAAGUGGAUCGAUGCCGACAAGCUGUACAAAUUCUUCCAAUAACUUCAUAGGACAAUGUUUAGGAAUUUGACUUCUUUCACUGGGGAUAUUGCCUGACCAACCACAAAGCAUGCAUUCAUCAUAGCAACAUCUGUAAAGAUUCAUUCUUCUGAAAAAACAAAAAAGAAACUGCUUUGAAGUUAGCUAGUAUCAAGCAAUACAAAAUCAUCUAAAUUUCAUCUGCAGUAAUGCAGUAUAUAAUUUCAGAAUUGCUGCAUCAUAUCACCAAUAGAUCUCAGACUAAAGGUUUGUUUGUUUCUAGAAUUGGUUGGCUUUGGCAUAUUAUAUCAUGCAUAUGAAAAACAUAAGAAAGUAGCAUAUCGACAUAACUGAUCAAAAGGGCGUGUCAGUUUGGGCUCCCUAGUUUCCUUCCACACUUGUGUCACAUUGCUUUCUCUCCUUGAUUAUCCUAAAUAACAAAAAUAACAAAUGAAAGAUUGAUCCUUAACACCUGAAAUUGAAAACCAACCUUCAAAACAUCAAGUUUCUCCCUCCAAAGGGUAUAAGAAGCCGAAACCAUUGAAGCCACAAGAAUCCAUGCUUCCAGAGCUACCCAAAUCAGUUUCUCAUCUCACAAGCCCAUUCCGUUCAAAAUUUGUUGUCAUUCUGGCGAAUCAAAUUCCCAUUGAGAACUUGAAGUAUUGUUCCCAACUUCCCAAACAGGCAUUGCAUGAUGGCUAACAUAUGAACGCCUAAAGUGAGCAUCAAUGUAUAAGUAUACCACAGUUUUAUUGAUGAAGGACUGAUUGAGAGCAACCGCACACCCGCCCUUACUUUGAAAAAAAGAAAAAGAAAAAAAGAACUACUCUAGUGUAAUAGUGUUGAGUAGACUAAGACCCAGUGUUCAAAAAGUAAUGAAUUGAGUAGACCUAGUGUUCAGGUCGGCCCAAUGCUUCAGCCUUUUUUUUGUGAACUGAUGUAUAAGUAUAACCCGAUAAAGAUCGGAUCUUGGGCUAAAACCGGGUUGAGAAGAAGAGAUUGUGUUCCACAAGCUGCCGGAGGGCGCGUGGAUAUGGAUAACAAAACAUGGUAGUGGACGGGGACUGUACUGCUGCCACUGGAAAACGGAGAGAAGCCAAAGUCAGUUACACAUGAAAAUCUAUAAUAUUUCUUCCAUUACCAAACUAGAAAACCAAAACCAGCAAACUGGUUCUUAAGCUGUGGAAGAUGAACCAACCAAUCACUCUUUGAACAAACACAACCCAACAACUGCUAUCCAGUGUAUGUUGAUCCCUUCCUCUUAGUUUCUCUUCAUUACUUCAUGUUCAAAUUUCCACUCUUUUGUUCCCUCUUUAUUGUUAUCCAUUUGUUUUCUGUUCAUGUGAAUAUAUGAUGAGGAAUUCUUGUUAGUGAUUAGUACUUGUAGUAAGGUGUUUUAGUUUCUAGUAGUUUCUUGGAUUAAGUUUCCAUGGCGAUUCUUAUAAACUCAGUGUCUCCUAUAACACACUCAUCACCAGAAACUGCUAGAAAGGGUUGUGGGUUCUUUUCCCACAUCAGGGUCCAGACUUUUUUACUCAACAAAGGCUUUUCUAGAGUUUUGGCAUCAACCCAGAUUACCAUUUCUCCAAAGGACACUGUUUUCACUUUGCCCAAUUGGAGAAAUCCUAAGAAUGAUAGAAGAAGUAGAGAAGUUAGGCUAAUAGAUGCCUUUCAGCAUUUAGAGUCUAUGACAGGGAAGGGCCAAAAGCCUGAUGUGGGCCAAGCAACUCAGCUCUUGUAUGAUCUGUGCAAGGCGAGUAAGAUGAGGAAGGCGAUGAGAGUGAUGGAAAUGAUGGUUGCUUCAGGCAUUAUACCUGAUGCAGCUUCAUAUACCUUCUUGGUGAACUAUUUGUGUAAAAGAGGGAAUAUUGGGUAUGCAAUGCAGUUGGUUGAGAAGAUGGAGGAGUAUGGAUAUCCAACGAAUACUAUUACUUACAAUUCGCUUGUUAGAGGGCUUUGUGUGAGAGGUAACUUGAAUAAAAGCUUGCAGCUUUUGGAUAAGCUGAUACACAAGGGGCUUGUCCCGAAUGUUUAUACUUACUCUUUCUUGAUUGAAGCGGCUUACAAGGAAAGAGGGGUCAACGAAGCAAUGAAGCUCCUGGAGGAAAUCAUUGCUAAAGGUGGAAAGCCUAAUUUGGUUAGUUACAAUGUCUUGUUGACUGGUUUGUGUAAGGAAGGCAGGAGUGAUGAGGCAAUGAAGUUCUUUAGGAGUUUGCCUUCGAUGGGACUCAGACCAAAUGUUGUGAGCUAUAACAUUGUACUGAGGAGCUUGUGUUAUGAAGGUAGGUGGGAAGAGGCGAAUGUGCUUUUAGCUGAGAUGGAUGGUGAGGAUCGGAUACCCUCCGUAGCUACGUAUAACAUCUUAAUCGGUUCUCUUUCUCUUCAUGGUAGAACAGAACAUGCGCUUGAAGUUUUGGAUGAAAUGGCAAAGAGUCGGUUCAAGCCUACUGCUGCAAGCUACAAUCCGAUAAUCGCUCGUCUCUGCAAAGAGGGGAAAGUGGAUCAUGUGGUUAAGUGUCUAGAUCAAAUGAUAUUCCAGCGAUGUAAUCGUAAUGAGGGAACAUUCAAUGCUAUUGCUGUGCUAUGUGAGCAAGGGAAGGUGCAACAAGCAUACUCUAUCAUCCAAAGCCUCGGGAAUAAACAGAAGUGCUCCACAACUGAGUUUUACAGAAACGUAAUCACAAGCUUGUGCAGGAAAGGAAAUACAUAUCCAGCAUUGCAGAUUUUAUAUGAAAUGACCAAGUAUCGUUUCACUCCAGAUUCUUAUACCUAUUCAUCUUUGAUCAGAGGGUUAUGUUUGGAGGGUAUGUUAAAUGAAGCAGUGGAGAUUUUCAAGGUCAUGGAGGAAAACAACCAAAGGCCUGAUACUGAGAAUUUCAAUGCCCUUUUACUCGGAAUUUGCAAAUGUCGAAGAACAGAUCUCGCCUUGCAGGUUUUUGAGAUGAUGAUUGAGAAAGGGCGAAUGCCUAAUGAAAUGACAUAUACCAUUCUCGUGGAAGGGCUUGCGCAUGAAAAGGAAAUGGAGCUGGCAACCGAAGUUUUGAGAGAGUUGCAGGGCAGACGGGUUAUGAGUCCAAAUACAGUGGAAAGACUAGUUAUGCAGUAUGACCUUGAGGAAAUACCACUGUAAAGAUAGGGGGAUAUUGUGAAGACCAAACCAGAUAAGGCUUUGAAAUCAGAUCCAGGGCGCUGUUCAACAUUUGAUAUAUACAUCAGAUGAAGGAGACACGAGAAGAAUAGGCAUUAUAUCAUGAAUAUUGAUAUAAUCAGACUACAGAACUGAGCGUGGAAGUGGAACUGUGGCACCAGAACAUUUGCUUACAGCUUCAAGCCAAUGACUGUUAAUUAUACACACAGCUUGUAUCCUUCCAAUUUUGUUCUGUUAAUCAAACCCAACACCUCUUUAUGUUCACCUUUCAUACCAGUUGAAGAAAAUUUAAACUGACCCUUGUCUAAUGGUAGCAACAAAUAAUGAAUCAUAAUUACAGAUGUGCUAGAUGACCAGUGGCUGUGAGAUGCGCAUUUCCUCAGUAGGAACAAAGAUUAAGCCAAGAACUGAAGGGAUUUACAUUGUAAACGAUAUAAAAUUAAGCCAAGAACUGAGUAGAUUUACAUUGUAAACGAUAUAAGGUCUCUAAGAAAGGGCACCUUAUUCAUAACUUUUGACAUUGAAAGAAUCUGAUAUUAAAUCCACAAGCAGAUAUUAUAUAAGGUCAAAGGGCACCUUAUUCAAAACUUUUGACAUUGAAAGAAUCUGAUAUGAUUAAAUCUUCAAGCAGAUAUUAGCUGAAGCCAAAUCAAAUCCCAUUCCACCAGAUGGAAAAACCAAAUUAAAUCCCAUUCUUCCAUUACUGGAUAGUAGAACAGCAGCCAUAACCUUGGGGUUUGGAACACAUAUUGUAACAACACAUUCUAAUUUUUUAUGAUCAAGCAUAACCUGAGAUGUUAAACAAUGACAGACCACUACUGUCCAGUUACCCGGUACAAGGGUAGAUAAGUGAAAAACUAGUGUCUGGUGUGUAAUAUCAGGUACAUGCCGGUCAAGCUUUAGCAGGAUUUGGGUGAUGGGUGUAAAAAAACACACAACACUAUGUACAUUAGCCAAAUCUCAAUCCCUACCCAUAUGUUUGAUAUAACAAUUCGCGUGCAAUCAAACUAGAUGGGAAACAAUUGGCAUGCAAUCAAACUAGAUGGGAAAAGAAUGUCAUGACAACAGCCCAGGACUGGGAUACCAACCUAGCAUAAUAAGCUUCCCACAGUUUCCAACUAGCAGCAUAAAAACUGAAAGAGAAGACAACAGAACAUGUUCUUUAAGUUUAGGCUGGUGAGCUAUUAAAAGAUCUAAACUUCAACAGUUCAUAAUCCUACCAACACCAACACCAAUCAGUGAGAAUAGUUGCAAAUAACAAAUCACAAAACAAGAGCUAUAAGAAGAACAAGCAAUCCAUAAUAUAUGAUUAAACAAAAGCUUCAGUAUCAUAAGAUCCAUGAACUAGUUCGACAAAAACUAAUAGAGCCAUUAAGUUCAAAACACAUAAUUCAAAGACACUGGAAAUUAACAACAUAACAUAAAGAUAGUCAUAAUCCCAAUCUACGAAGAGAAAGGAACUAAUCACUCAUAAACAUCCUAGAGGCUCCACGUCUACAAAAACUCCAGCAGAAGCUUUGGUGCAGAUUGAGAGACCCCAAAGGUGCCUACUUCGAUCUCUGCCUCAUCUUUCGGCGCUUCCUCUUCAACCUCCUCAUCCUCUUCUUCUUCCACUGCAACAGUUUCAAGCCACAAAAACCAAUCAGUAUCAAUUACUAUGAAAAUUUCAUUAUCAGAUUUAAGGGAACAUUUGGAUUUGAACGAAUCCGAACAAGAAGGUGACGAAGGGGUGUGAAGAAGAUACCUUGGCCCUCAUCUUGGGUGGGGAAAAGGUGCAGCUACUUCAAAACGACGGCGGAGCUCUCCCAAGGGUUUUGAUGUGCGUGACGAGUCUGAAGACCCUGAACCCUAAUGUGUCUGCCGCGUUUAUAUAUAUAGGCGUGGGCCUGGCUAUAUUGGGCUUUUAGCUGAAGAGAAAUAAGUGGGCAGUUUACUGAAUUCCUAGGCCCAAUUACUCAUAAACGGAUAAACCUCAGUAAAUACGUACGUUUAACCAAUGCACCACAUAGUUCUUUGAUCAAUUUUGUAGUCAGUUAUUACCGUUCAGUCGAAACUAACAACGGAGAAUAAAGAAGUUCCGAUGAUGUUAUUUCGCCUAUCAUUUUCCACCGUUGGCUCAAUUGAAAAACCUCGGUCGCAAUAGACAGACCCUUAACUCACAAUAAAAAAAAUUAAGGUAGACUGAUUGAGGUUUUCUUCGGUCGCAAUAAAUAAAACCCUCAACUCUAUACAAUAAAAAAAAUCAAGGCUCGUAAAGUCGGUGGAGAUUCGAUUGCUUAAUAUAUUAGUCUCAAAUCUCGAUAAUGUUAUGCUCCUCAGAAUAUUGGAACGAUACAUAGAUUAUUAACGAAUCCGAUUGUUACCAUCGCAUUACUCAUGCACUAAGAUUAGAUGCAAAAAAGGAUCCAUAUUUUAUGGUUUACAAAAUGGUGACCGGAUGAACUACCGCUCUGAAAUUAUCCAUAUUUUAAUUAGUAGGAAAAACAUAUUUUGAGGGAGAUAAUCUGAAAAAUAAUCAUAUGAAGCCCAACUAAAUCCUAUGCUUAAACAUCAAUAUCUACUCCCAACGUUUGGUACACGAAGAAGCUGACAAAACUGAACUGAAAGUCUGAAACAAAACCAACACUUCCAGAGUUCGUUAGACUGAAAUCCAAACGAGUCCGAUCAGAUGGAAAACGGAGACAACCACGGCGAGGCAUCGUACCCAAAUGCCGACCAGACCAAAAUCGAGAACAAGAAGACAACAACAGCGGAAUCAUCGGAGGCUUUGGCAAAGGGACUGUCUUCGACCCUCGCCGCCAUCAUUAAAGACUUCGAUUCCAAAGCCCAGCAGACCUUCACCAGCCAAGACCAGCUCUCUCAAGCCCUCGAUCGCCUCACCCGCGGUAACUAAGUAACUUAUUAUUUUGUUUUGGGGUAAUUUUGAUUGUUAUUUACUGAGAUGGUGUUUGGUGGGCAGAGCUGGAUAAGUUGUUGGAAGAUGCUCCGAUGCCGUUUAUAAUGCAACACGCGGCGAAGAUCACGGCGGUUAGGAAGAGGGUUUUGUCUCUUAACUCGGUUUUGAAGAAUGUUCAACGCCGUCUUGACAAUAUAGACCGCAUGUUAACUGUUGGAGUUCCACAUCCUAAUCAACAUGGUAUGUUGUGCCUUUUUGUGUUUAGUUUUCACUCUAGGAGUAGAUUAGUGCUAAAAAUCUAACUACUGUGGUUUUCUAUAUUGCCGAAUGUUGCUAAAAGUAGUAAACUUCACAGUAGAAUGUCAAUUGUUACAAUAAGAGUUGAGUAGUUUGUGUAGCUUCCAAAGUGUCUAAGUUUAGCUGAAUUGAGUUUGCAAAGGACUAACAAGUUACCCUUGUGAUGGAAUGAAAGAGACAUAGGUCAUACAGAUGUGAACUCCUCGCAGUUUGCGGUGAUUGAUAUAGUGUGAUAUGUAGUUAUAAGUGCAUUGUUCUUCUUGCUUUCAAAACUACUCUCUAAAAGCAAUUUAUGUGUGAUAUCAAUGUGCCUAACGAUCAUUCACUAGGAGAAGUUUGGGAGUUCUAUAUUAAGCAAUCAAUGUUUUGGCAUUGCUUGGGUCUGACAUUGUAGCCUUGUUGUUUAUGUACUUAACUAUGGUUUUGAAUGAGUGGCUAAAAGUGAAUUGCCGAAGCUUCUGUGUGUGUAUGUGAUGACUGAAUUUGAAAGGUCUAGGGACCUAAUGAAUUAUUUAGUAUAUGUAGAGCAUUAACAUUCUAUUUAUACACUUUUUUAGGCUUCAAAAUUGAAUCUUGCUGUACAUAACAUAGUGACUAAUGCAUCUGAAGUCAUAUUUGCAGAUAAGACGAACACUGAACAUUCAGGACUGCAUUAACACUGUUGUGUAUUGGAGGUAAGACACAUGUCUUCUUGUUAUGAAAAAGAGAACCACAAACUGUAAACUAGAACUCUGCAAAUAAUAACAUUUUGUUCUAUAUGCCAAGAAUCAUCAGUAAGUUUUAGAAUGUAGAAUGUUCGAAUACUGCCAGUGGCUCAACAGAUAAUGAUGGAUACAGUUGUUUAUAGAGCUUGUUAGAUGAUAAACCUUCUGCUAUAAUGUCUGCAAAAAGUACAAUCAGAAACUGCAGUUCUCAAUCAUAAACAAAGUGACAGACUAAAUAAAACCAUGUCCAGUCUCUUAUGGAAAAUAGAAAUUAAGUUUCUGACGUUAUCAAAGUUUUUGUUAUUAAUUUCAACAAGACUCUCUUGAUCUAUAUCUUCUUUUAACUGAUUGAUGGUUUCAUCUUAGUUUCUCAACAGUCAAUCUCCAGAAAAGAUCUAGCACAGUAUCGGGAUUGCAGGGGACAACCUUAUAGUUUUGGGUCCGUCAGUCAACCAAUUGAAGAAUUUUGCCAUCUUUGGCCGAAGCUCAUUGAGGAGUUUAAAAACCACAAGGACGCUCCAUCAUUUGACACAUUGAUGUUACCUGAAAGUCAGAAUCGCUGAAGAGUAAUUAAGGAGAAUAUUUGACAGUCUAGUGUAACUAUGGACAUUGAGUGGGUAGAUAUUUGGCGUUCUGAAUGUUGAAUGGCAGUAGUUUGUGCAGAUGGCAAAUGAGAGAUAACUGUUUCUGGAAUCCUAGUUUAGCAUUAUUUGAUUUUCCAACAUUUGAGCUGAUAUGAUCACUUAGAUAUAUGUACAUUUGUAUUUUGCUAUUGCAAGGUUUUUUGGGGUAAAAAAUGUCAAUGAGAUGUUGGUGUGAUAGAUUUCUGGAUUUCAUGCUGCCACCAAGUCACCAACUCCAUCUGAUUCAUUACAGGCUCAAAUGAAAUCUGCUCAAACAUCAUGACACUAUAAAUUCAUUCUACUCAAAUAUAUGUGAGCAAAUUUACUGAUUGCAAUGUGAAAAAAACAAAAAUAAUUCGGAUUGAGCCAUAAGUAUUGGGCCGCAAUAAAUGAUAGAUUAUAAAAGGCCCAAAACAACAUUGUAAACCCUAGUCUCUCACCCUUAUAAAUACCGGGGUUCUCAUUCUUCUUCUCUCAUCUUCUUUUUGUAUUUUGGAGUCUGCUGCUGUUUUGUUCAUUGCUUCAUAGAUUCAUAUGAUUACAACUAGGAAAGUGAUGAGAAGUUUUGUCGCCCCAGUCUUACCCGCAUCAUAAAAAUUGUUGCUUGGUGGUGAUUGACUCUUUUUCUGAUUCCUCUUCUUCAAGUUUUUCUUUUCUUCUUUCAAGUUUCUGGUAUUUGAAUACAAAAUCGCAAGGAUGUGUAGGAGAUAUGAUGAUGAAUAUCCCAUUGUUCCAUCACUGAAUUCAACUUUGAUGACAAAUCAACCAAAUUACAUGCACUACCAUCUGAUCUCUUGCUUCAAAAUCCUUGCUUCUUUUUCUUUUGGAUUGUGUUCUUGUGUAAUUUCUAAAGCCCAGUGGUAUCUGAUGCACAGAUUUAUUGUUGUGGCUGAGCAUUUCGUUAAACCUGGGCCAAAUCGAUUUCCAAAACAGGUCUUGCGACACAGUUUGCUUUUGUUUAUUCCAUGAGCACUCUGUUACUUAAUCCCUGCUUACAUUCCUCUUUCCAUUUCAUUCCCAAUUGAAAUUGACAUACAGACUGAUUAAGAAUUGGGUUUCUAGAUAAUUGGUACAAAUGAUAAUAGAAGAUGGAACUGAACACCCAUCAGAUUUUGGAUUCAAGAUUUGAGCUUUGAGUUUCACAAACUCAACCCAGCUGUGUCAAAAUAAUUUAUUGAACUAUAAAAUUGGAACAUUAAGCAAAUUUCAAUUCGAUUUUGGGUCUAUAAACUUAUGCAACAAUCUCAGUACGUUAUCAUUGAGAGACAGAAGAGUAGCAGGAUGCUUGGAGUUGUAAGUGUUAUCUCAUAUUGUAAGUCCAUGUUCAUCAUGAACCUUCCAAGAUUAGAACUUUGGACAAAGCAAUAUUUUCUGAUUCUAUGUUUCUAUUAAACCCAAUAAUAUCAAAUCAACUUUCUCAGGAUUUGUUCCUUAACUCUAUCUCCAAUGCUUGUUUCUAUGGCCAAAUAAGAUAUUUGGGUAACUACCAACCAAACACAACUUACAAGCUAUUAAUCACCCAAAGAACUAAAGUUGGGUUUUGGGUGACAUUCAUACUAAGAUCCUAGGACACAGCUUAUCGUGUUCAUAUGAGUUCAUAUGAUGAAGCGGAUAGUCUAAAGACUGAGAAAAGUUGCGGAGGAAGUUUUUUGAGAACUGUUAGCAACAUAUUAUUCUUAUUUUUGUCGCCGUGAUAUUCUAAUUAAGUUUCCACCACUCACCUCGAUUCUACUGUUCUUAUGUCAUUGCCGGAACAACAAUAAUUUCUAUGGAAAUAGCAGAAGCAGCGAGCAAGGGGGCAAGCAGACAAGUGCCUGCCUAAUAUGGCAAAAUAUAUAGCUAUUUCACCAUUAGCAAAAAAAAAAAAAAAUAAAUAUAUAUAUAUAUAUAUAUAUAUAUGAAAGAGAGCUACUGAUCGAUGUGUUAUUAAUAAUUUAUUAUCGUUAAUUUUACGGAGGUAAAAGAUCCACGUGAAAAUCCAGAAAGAAAAUGACAGCAAAAACAAAAAGAGGGCACAUAAAAACAAAGGAUUACAAAUCAAGUCAGUCGUCGUCUCUCUCCAGAGGGCCUGGUCUGGUUUUCUCUGAGGAGACCUGAUUGGAUACAUCUGUGAUGCCCCUGAGGCUAGCUUUAGCCCUAGCUCCUUCCUCUCUUCUCCCAAUAUGGUCAAAUCUGCUACUGCAGCUUUUCCCCUAGCCUGCUUCCCAGUACAGAUUUUCUAGAAUAACACAUCCAAUCAACAAAUUCAUUCACAUAGGUAGAUGAGUAGUACGUACUUGUAUGCCCUCGGGCUCAACAGUAAUCAUAGAUGAGUAUGGGUAGUUUUGUGGUUCGUGUGAGAGCUAGCAUCGCUACCACAUUAUUAGUCUCCGAACUCACUGAGGUAAAUCAUAUUUUGGGAAACCAUAUACAGUAUUUAUGAACGUAGAAGUUCGUCGAAUAAUGGUAAGUUAAUGUUAAUCACCGAUCACAAACACGAAUCUGUUGUUUAUGCAUUUGGCAUCGAUGUAUUGUUGAAUUUUGAACAUCAAUGUGUUAGCCAAAUCGUGUGGUUUGUGAUGAUAAUUGGCAGUCUGCCUCAUCAACCAACUUUCACCAUUGAGUCUGAGGUUAUAGUUCUAGUGUACUGAGAGCAUUUUACGUAUUAGAUAGGUUGAACUACAGAUACAGUAUCUGUGAUCGGACGUACUUAACAACAAUUGAUGAAACAUCUGUAACUUUGUUUGAACAGGUCUGUAGUGAAAAAUUUGUUCGUUUUAUGUAGCAUUUUUGUUUUACAUUCAAUCAUAUAUGUUUGGUUGGAUCCACAUGAACAGAUUUCUUCUUUUUGGGAAGAUGAACAGUUGAUGCUGGCAUGGGCAUGCGUGAGAUGCCAAUUAUUGGUACUAUCCCAGUCAAUGAAACUUCACCAUCCUAAAAUUAUCAUAUACUGUGGAAGGACAAGAAAUCUACAAGCAAUUGGAUUCUAAAAGAUGAAAUUUCACCAUCGAUGGUGAAGAUAUAAGUACACUCUUUUACCCGUGCCUGUCUGCCAAACAGACCAUUAAUUGGUCAUGCCAUUGCUUCAAACGUUUUGGACAUGAACAAAUGGCAAAUAGUGAGCUUCUGUUUACUCAGCAAUCCAAACUAUUUAGUAGAAUUGAGGAAAAGCUGCACUUUUUUUUUNUUUUUUUAAGACUGAAUUGAUAUAUUGAAUAGAUUUAAUCGAUAAAACUCAUACAACCAUACAAGGUCAGGCAUAAGGUGUUCAGAAACAACCCUUACAAUUGAUGCUCAAAUAUGCAUUGCUACAAUCAUAAAAGAACUGUAAAAAACUAGGUCCAAAGCGACGGACACCAAAACUACAAAGACGGAGUCCAAAAAUGAGGACACAAAAACUAGAAAGCAAGUAAGCAAAUAAAAUACCCUUGCACUACCCACUACCCUAUGCAAAAACACAAAUGGUGUACAUCUCUAUUGAAAAACACAAGCAAAAGUCGUGGAUUAGGGAAAUGCUAGGGUUGUAACCUAACCAUUUAAGAUCCGCCCCAAGGUCCGACACACAUACCGCUCCGACACCACAAGAUCCAACAUCGUAGACUCAUAAAUCAGCACACUUACCACCUGUUUAGGACUGGUGCUGCUUCCAUAACGACGACCACGCUUCUUCCCUAAACCACAAGACACACUUGGAGCCAUUGUCAUCAUUCCUUCUUCAUUGAGCAGAAAACCUACAUCCUCCGGUGUAAGUCCAACCGACAUGAUAGCCAAACAAUGCUUAGCUCUCUUUCCAGCAUCCUUCGUCUCCUCUUCUCGACCACGACGCACCUUAGAGAUUUUCGCCGGCUAUCGCAUGUCUAAAAUAAACCAGAUUGAAACACUCAUCUUCUCCUUUGGAAACCAGGGAGGGAGGGUAUAGAUGCAUAUGCCUAAACAACCAACAGGGCAGUGGGCAUAUCUCUAAAAGUGACAAAAAAUAGAGAUCCCUCAUUAGAAUAUAUAUGAGCCCUUCAAAUGAGGGAUUCCUAUUUUUGUGACUUUUAGAGAUAUGCCCACACCAUUAGAUCUAUUUUUUAAUGGGUUUUGAUAACUGAGAUUAAAACAAAAAACUUAACACUUAUGUCAAACAUACACCGUUCAAGAUCAUUAAAAAUAAAUCAAACAUUUUGAUGACUUAACGAUCACCAAAUAUUGUGAAAAUUUACAGAAGUGAUCUACUCAUAUACACCUACAAAUUGAACGGUGGAGAUGUGAUUUAGUGAUCGGGAAGAAAUAAACAAAAAAAAGGAAUCUCUCAUUGGAAUGGUCAUGUGUGUGUGUGUAUAUAUAUAUAUACAGAGAGGAUGUGAAGCGGAUGUCCGCACUCCGGCUUAAAGUGCGGACAUCGUCUGUUCUCCGCCGUCUCACGCCGACGACGGCUUCUCUCCUUCCCGGACGACAGCACAGGCUUCCAGGACGGCUUCUCUCCUUCCAGGACUGCCCGGCGACAAGUUUUCCGGCCAACCUUGAUCAAUCAUGGUGUUUUCCGUAGCUUCAAUCCGGUCGGAAAACUUGUCGCCGGCCAGUCUUGGAAGGAGAGAAACCGUCCUGAAGCCUGUGCUGUCGUCCGGGAAGGAGAGAAGCCGUCGCCGGCGUGAGACGGCGGAGAACAGACAACGUCCGCACUUUAAGCCGGAGUGCGGACGUCCGCUUCACAUCCUCUCUGUGUGUAUAUAUAUACAAUGCUGAUCAGGUGCGGACGUCCGCACCAAAGUUUUGGUGCGGAUUUCCAUUUUUGCACCACUUCCCGAUCGAAUUUCCUCAAACUUCCUUCUAGAUCAUCUCUGCAAAAUUUCAGCCAAUUUGGUGAUUGUUAAGGCCCUCAAACUCGAAAAACAAAUGGACGGACUGAAUUCUGUUCGGUUGUGUUCAUACCAGAAAAACUCGAGUUUGAGGGCCUUAACGAUNNNNNNNNNNNNNNNNNNNNNNNNNNNNNNNNNNNNNNNNNNNNNNNNNNNNNNNNNNNNNNNNNNNNNNNNNNNNNNNNNNNNNNNNNNNNNNNNNNNNNNNNNNNNNNNNNNNNNNNNNNNNNNNNNNNNNNNNNNNNNNNNNNNNNNNNNNNNNNNNNNNNNNNNNNNNNNNNNNNNNNNNNNNNNNNNNNNNNNNNNNNNNNNNNNNNNNNNNNNNNNNNNNNNNNNNNNNNNNNNNNNNNNNNNNNNNNNNNNNNNNNNNNNNNNNNNNNNNNNNNNNNNNNNNNNNNNNNNNNNNNNNNNNNNNNNNNNNNNNNNNNNNNNNNNNNNNNNNNNNNNNNNNNNNNNNNNNNNNNNNNNNNNNNNNNNNNNNNNNNNNNNNNNNNNNNNNNNNNNNNNNNNNNNNNNNNNNNNNNNNNNNNNNNNNNNNNNNNNNNNNNNNNNNNNNNNNNNNNNNNNNNNNNNNNNNNNNNNNNNNNNNNNNNNNNNNNNNNNNNNNNNNNNNNNNNNNNNNNNNNNNNNNNNNNNNNNNNNNNNNNNNNNNNNNNNNNNNNNNNNNNNNNNNNNNNNNNNNNNNNNNNNNNNNNNNNNNNNNNNNAAAAAAAAAAAAAAAAAAACGAAACAUGAAUAUUAUGCAGUCUGAUAUUACGAUCAAAAUUAUUCAUCUUCUGAGUUAUUAUAUUGAUGUUCGUUAUAAGCUUCUUGAUGAACCUUCUAUCUAUCCAAUUGAACACCAUAUAUUCUCAAGUUAACUCAUUUCCCAUAUGUUGUAUGUCACUUCCAAAUUAAUUUGGUAACCCAACCUAGCUAGCUAGAAUAGCAGAAUGCCUGCCUGGUGGGGGUGUGUGGAGGGGAGAGAGGAGGGCGGGGGGUCCGGGGCAUCUGUUUUUUUCUUGGUACACUUGGUUAGCUAGCUGCAGCCUGCAGGUAACCCUUCAAUUCCUGGUGAAAAUCAUUUAAUGGGGUUUUAAGUUUUAAACAAUUGCCAAAAAUAUUGGGACUGUGUGACUGAGACUAGUCAAUUGCCCUAUGAAACAAUUCAGGACUACCCUAAUAGCAGUAUAGCACAAUCAUAGGAGUGCAGAGGGCAUCAAUGCCGCAUCAUAUAUGGUUCAAACGGAGGUCUUCCGUUAUUAUUUUCACCAGCAAUGUGUGUGAUCCACAAUCCGGAAUGAACUGAUCAGAAAGCUUGCACUAAAAAAAUCCCUGUUAUAAACUUGCUCAUCUGAGUUUCAUUAUUGUAAGUAUUGCUCCAUUUCUAGCCGGAGAUUUGAACCAACUGCUCCCUUGGUCCCUUCUGUAUCGAUAUUUUCCUCACUCGGCUUUAAUGGUUUUUCUCACUUUGUCUUUCUCUGACUCCAUAGCAAAGCCCUCUUCCUUAUCUGAAAGCCAUACCAGAAAGAAAAUGAUUAAAGAGGUGUGCUUUUUGUUUGUUGAAGAAAUUAAAUUAUCGAGCAACGACACUUUAAUUCGAGGCAUGGCUUUAGUUUUGUUGGGCACUGUAGUAGGGUUUUGAUCAGAAUCUCAGACACUCAACAGGUACAAAUCAUUACUGCGAAUCCUGUUGGAGGACAAAGACACUGCCAGAAAGUUUUAUAAAACAAAGAAACAGUAAUUAAUAUAAGAACUUGAAUAUAUAUUUUUCUUUGUUGAUUCGAAUGCCGCCAUCUCUGUGAGCAUCCCAGCCAGCUGAGAGAAAAGAAUUCCAUUAGGGUUGCAUGUGAUAUUUUUCCUGUGUGUGUGUAUCAGACAAAGCAUGAGAGAAUUGAUGCCUCUCAAGUAUCAAACAUGAAAAGAAGAGAGAGCUGGAAGGAGUAGGAUUAUAAUAUAGCAAGAGGGAUAGGGCUUGGAAGUGAUGUUGAUUCGAUGGAAUCGAUGGUUUCUAUUAACCGGUAGUUGUUAGGGAUCAAUCGGUGGUUUCAAGAAGUCACCUUACCUCGUAAAGUAAAACCAGCUAGUUAGUAACCGUUUGCGCUGGCUAGCUAGCUAUAUCAGGGUUUAGGGUUUAGGUUCACGGUUCAGGGUUCAGGCAACCAGUUUGACUCAGUAGCACGAAAGCGGAUUUCCCACGAAAGCUAGCUAGAUGAUCGAUCUAUGUAAAGCCAGCAAGUUUUGCAGUGAUGGAAAUCCAAAGGGAAGAAAGAAUUUUUUAGGUGGUAGAUUUCUAUACCAGUCGGUUUGACGACUCGUGGAGAUGAUGGCAUGGCAACCACUUGUGCUCCAACCAGAAUGAAUACAACCCACUUAACUUGGGGUUGAUGCCUUCUAGGGUUGAUCCAUUCAAGAAUCUGUUGGGAUUUCUUCAAGAAAUUACCAAGUUCUAGUUAACUUUAAGUUGACCACUUUCUAGUUUUUACAAAGAGGAAUUAUUACCUUUUGAGUUAACUAACUAAAAAGGGGACACACUAAAUUGUAAAUUGAAAUAUGAUUGCGCGCACUAGGUAGGAAAGUCUCUCCAAACUCCGAACGAAAAUAAAAAAUAAAAAACAAACAAAUAAAAAACUCACACACAAACACAUAUAACAAAGAUAUGUGUGAAAGUUCUUCAGUGCACCCUGGUUCAAGUGAACCAGUAGUGACUGAUCAAUCAUAACAAUUUAUUUAAUCCAGUUAAUUACAUGACACUAAUAUCGAUGUUAAGGCAGUUAAAAAGAAUAGAGACAAAAAACACAAUUAACUGAGUAAAAACACUAAGGCCUCGUUUGGUUCACGGAAAGGAAAUUAGUUCAUUUGUCUUUCCCACGAGAAGGGAAAGAGAAGGAAAAUUAAAUUUUCCGAUGACUUUCCAUUCCGAUGUUUGGUAACACAAGAAAAAUCAUCCGGAAAAAUUGUUUAUUAAUGUGAGUAAUAAAUGCAAGGAAAUAAGAUAAGAAAGUGGUUCCUAUGAAUUUUGGAAGGAACAACUUUUCCUCACAUUUUCCCAACCUUCAGGAAAAUAUUUCAUUUUCUUCAGCAUUCCUGAACGGACUUGCUCGGUCACAACCAAGUUAUGUUAACACAUGUGGGACCCAUAUAAGUGGUUCAAGUGCACCACGGUGCACUGAAUUCGUUUCGGAGGUUUGUGUAUCAAUCCCAUGUAUAUAUCAAACGGUUUAUCAAAUUGAAACCCUGCUACACCUGGUAAUUUUUAUUAUUCUUACUAAAAAAAAAAAUUUAUCAAAUUGGUCAGUAUACCCGGUAAAAUUUAUAAGUUAUUUUAGAGCACUCAUUUAUUGCUUUCUCUUGCAUCUGAUUGAAAAGUAGCCAAAUGUACCUUGGCGAUUGAGCACUCAUUUAUCUUAGUAAUUGUGGUGAGACUAGGUUUUAGUCGACAAAGUAGUGUUCACAUGGUCAGUCGUUGAUCAAGAGAUUCAUGGUCUGCCACCAUUAGAUUUACAUUUAAAGGUUGAAAACAAAAUAACUUUACUUAAAAAUAAUUAUCAUCACCCUUAGAUUUAAAUCUAAUGGUGACUAACCAUAAAUCUCUUAGUCGGUCACUUACUAGGUAAACAUGACUUUUAGUCGACAAGUGUUUUAGAUUGAACAAGUAAGCUCUGAUAUAGUGAGUUUUAUUUAUUUAAAUACUAGCCAACUGAUUUAAUGCAAAAUUAUACAUUGUAUAACUAAGAAGGACGUAUGAAAUCGAUUCACGGACAUGAGUUGACUCUGUUUUUGUGAUUACAAAACAGCCAUGGAGGUCUCAAGCUUAUAGCCUUCAAGCCUAAAAGUGAAAUAGAACAACAGCAGAUACGGUGAUGUGACCUCAACUAAGUUCAAAUGCCCCCACACUAUACAUGAACAUGAACAAGAGCUCCAACGAUAAGGAUUUCGAAUAUUUCCAAGCCAACCAGAGGCCAAACCCACCAUCAACUUCUGGCCCUCCCCUCUCUUUCUCCCUCCUUCCCUCCCUCUACCCUACACUGGAGCCUGGAGGAUCCCCACCCUACAGUCCCUCAGUCGCUCUCUCUUGUAUAUCUUUCUGACGAUCUGCAAGUGCAGCUCAGCAAAGGGGGACUGGGAGAUGGGGAAUCUAUUCAGAGCUCUCUCUCUCUCUCUCUAUCUCUCUGUGCAUUACCACGUUCUUGAAACUUUCUUUUCAUUCUUGAAUUUGCAGUUCUGUAAAUUUUCUUAUUGGGGCUUGCUAUUCCCACAACUUUCGACUCUAGGUUUUUUCUUUUCACCAAAAAGUGAGUCCUGGAUUUGUCGGUUUAGGGCAACUGUAAAAAUAUUCAUAGCUUCCCAUGAUCCCAUCGAAUCAAUGUCCUGGGACUAUUACCAAUACAUGAUAUACAUCCCAUCAUUUCUGUGUUGAAUGGGGCAUGAGUAAAAGAAAGAACUACAUCGCAACUACUUCCGAGCAUUUGAUAGAAGUCACAGUUUACUAAGAGGGAUGGGGAAGAACCGCAGGACUCGUUAUUACUGGAUGAUACUAUUGUCAAGGUCUAUUGUCAAUGAGAAUCAACCAUUCGGACAAGAACUUCUGUUAUCAUAUAGGAGUGUUUCUGUAGAUCUAAAGGGUGCUAGAGAAUAUUUUCAUUUCCUUUCCAUUCUGCAAUGAUGGAAACUCUUUGGGAGUCUUAUUUCAAGUUAGCCAGUUAGGUAUCUGUCACUAAAUAAAGAUAUGUUUGACACAUUUACUUAGUUCAAACAUUGACGAUAAUAUAACAAAUGAAUCUCUAAUCCAUACACAAUAUGAGCUUUACAUGACAUAAGACAAAACACAAUCCGACGUUUUUUAAAUUCUAUUUACAAACUAGCUCUUUUACAUUGUAGACGAACAUCUCAUGUAACACAAUUUUUUAUUCAAUGGUUUGAUAUAUAUAUAUAUAUAUAUAUAUAUAUAUAUAUAUAUAUGUAUAUAUAGAGGGUAGCGGCUGCCUCGUAAGUCUCUCUGAUGAUCACCUUCAAACAAAAAAGCGAUCACCACUACAGGCAACCCCAAUUCCCAAAUGAGAACCUGAAGUUUAUAUAUAUGUAUGAUCGAUUCUGCGAGAGAAUAACCAACGAACUCUUGCAACAAAUAUGCAUUCUGAUUCUUAGCUCUAUACCACUCUUUACCAAAUGACUCUCUCUGCCUAACUAAAUUGAGCUCGAAGUCGACUAUCCUUGAAGCUAGCCUUCUCCAUCUCAUAGGCCGGCACGGGCGAGCUAGAAGUCAAAUUUCAAGAACUGUAUGUGGUGGGAUAUCACAAAUCAACUGGUAUAAGAGUAAUCUUCCAAUUCAGAAAGAAUUUGGAGUCUCAAACAUGAUACAUGACACGGUGAAAGCGAUUCAACUGCAAAAAGAGACUUGCCCCGAUCAAAUCGACAUUGAUGGAUCGUCGAAGUUAGGUCGACUUUAGUAUUGAUCGUUUUGUUAUAUAUGGCCGGCCUAGCCUACAUAGCUUUCAAGCUACUGCACAAUAGCUCGGCAACCUUUGUCAUCAUUAUACCAAGUCAAAUGAUGGUGGGGAAUCGUAAAUCUACUCAUAAGGUCGAUCAUCCAAUCUUAAGAAACAAUUAUUGGAGUUUUACAAUGAUUUCAGAUAUCAAGGAUUGGAAGAGGACGAGAACAGGCAUUGCAAUAUAUUUCAUCGGCCCGGAAAAUAGGGGUUCCGAUCGUUCCGUCGAAGAAUUAUGGCCGGGUAAUGUUUUGGCCUUAAUCGACAACUCAUGAAGUCAUGAUCCUAUCAAUGUAAUACUAUUUUGAGUUUCUUUGGCAUGGAUCGGGUGUUUGUCUUCCGAAAAAGAAAUGAAAACAAGUUUUCAAACACUACGAAAUUUAGGGCUCAUGAGCAUUUUCUAUUUAUAUGAGCGGUGGGAGAUCAACCUACUAGAUUGAGUGUACGUGUGUUCUAACUUGUAAGAUUAGGGUGUUCAACUUCUUUUUCGAAUCCGACAUCUAUCUCCAAAGAACAUUACAAAAGAUUUAGAUGCAUGAUAUUCACAAAUCAAUAGGGCAGGGUGGGAACGGUGAUGACUGAUGACACUCACUUGACUCACUUCUAUCCCGGACUCUCCUCGUUUCUUAGUUUACAACACCCAUCUGAGGUCUCAAAGAUCAUCAUACCAUUAGUAAAGGAAUUAAGACUGGAACUAUAUGUAUAGUAAUCUUAACUCAAACAGUAUAACCUACAAGUUACAACGUACUUGAAGGUUUCAUGGACGGAUGGACAUACUCACAUAUCGAUGAUGUUUGAAUAUGUACAAUCACGGCCACUAUUUGCCGUCAAUCCGUCGUAGAGAUCUCCGACGCGGUUCUUAAUAUGACGGCGACAGGCCAGACGUCAAGUGCAAACGACUAGCUUAUUGACGUCGCAACUCUUUACAUCACCCGGGACUGCGUUCGUGACUAUUAAUUAGACUUAGUUUUCUCAUUUCCAUAAUCUUUUUUUAUGAAAAAGAGAAACAAAAUCCUUUACAUAUUUAACAUUAUACUAUUUUCUGUCGUACUGUUUUACUGUUUAAAGUACUGUUAAGGCAACUGUUCAAAUAGAACAAUUUUGGGCUUGGGUCUGUAUCUUUGGGCCUCGGUCUUUUGGUCUAUAUCUUUGGGCUUCGGUCUGUAUAUCUCUCUCGAUCUCUCUCGAUCUUUCUCGCCGCUUUGCAUAUCUUUUUUGUCUUGGUUUGUCAAGACUUGAUAUCUCUCUCUCUCUCUCUCUCUCAUCACUCCGGCUCUCUCUCUGUUGAAUUCCUCUGCUUCAAGAAUCUCUCUCCUGCAUAUCACGUCAACACCUGAUCUCUCUCUCUCUCUAUCGAAUCAUUCCGGUUCUCUCUCUCUCUCGAAUCUCAACAAAGUUUCUUGAUCCAAAUCCGGCCAAAAUCUCAAAGUCGUCUUCAUUGCUCCGUUAUAGGUCUUAAAUUUACAACCCAAGCAAGACAUCGAGUACUUUUGAGGUAAUUUUUCUUUCUUUGAUAUUCGUCAAUCGUCGUCUUAUUUUUUUGGUAUGAUCCUUCUAUCUCGUUAUAGACGCAUUUUCCUUACGAAAAACCAAGACAAAGAACAGAAUAAUUCCUUCCUAAAUCGUUUUGGAGCAUCCCUUAACAAGCCUAGUGACAAGCUCCCACUCUAUAUAUAUUAAACCAGAAAGCCCUCUCAAUCAAAUCAGAUGGGGAAGGAAGUUCGUUACAAAUUAGAAUGCCGUAGGAGAACUCUACGAGGUCCCAUUCCGAUCUUGACCCAACUAAAGGGGGGAGACAAAGAACAUUCAUUUAAUCAAAAGCUCAUCUUUCACAUAAAGUUGUGACAAAAUUAUAUAUUAGACGUAAUUGCAUGUAACGUGUUUAACUACUUCGACCUUUUCAAGCCUAAUCAUGGAUCAUAUCUCCCAUGUGGUCCACCGACCCCAUUUCUAUUAAUUCCCACUUUAUUAUUAUUAACCCCCCAAAAAAACAAAAACCAUCCCUGACACCCAAGAAAAUAAAAAAAUUAAACUUUUUUAGAAUUAUAUAAAAAAUAAAUUAAAUUAAAAAUUACUCCACACAGAGCUGGCUCUGGCUCUCUGCCGCUGGCGCCUCUGUUUGAAUCUUGGCAGCAUUUCCAAAAACCCUCAGUUUUUUAAAAAUAAAACUAAAAAUAAUAACACAUGGAUAAGCUCAAACAAUUUGAUGCUAUUUCAUUACCCGUACACGCGCAGGUCAAGCGCGUGCCCCACAUUCGUCACGGUCACAGACUCACAUAGAAUGGCCAUGGCCCAUGGAUGACGAAGAAGAAGAUGAGGACAAAUAUAACUACAUUAUCAGAAACUGGCCGCAUAUUUACAUUACACCAAAAAAAAAAANAANNNN